GGCGGCAUGGCUAAAUGGUAAGGCAGAGGAUUGCAAAUUCUUGAUUCCCAGUUCAAAUCUGGGUGUCGCCU
rnacentral:tRNA from 1 species